GACGAACGCUGGCGGCGUGCUUAACACAUGCAAGUCGAGCGGUAAGGCCCUUUCGGGGGUACGACGAGCGGCGAACGGGUGAGUAACACGUGGGUGACCUGCCCUCAGCUCUGGGAUAAGCCUGGGAAACCGGGUCUAAUACCGGAUAUGACUCCAUGACGCAUGUUGUGGGGUGGAAAGCCUUGUGCGGCUGAGGAUGGGCCCGCGGCCUAUCAGCUUGUUGGUGGGGUGAUGGCCUACCAAGGCGACGACGGGUAGCCGGCCUGAGAGGGCGACCGGCCACACUGGGACUGAGACACGGCCCAGACUCCUACGGGAGGCAGCAGGUGGGGAAUCUUGCGCAAGUGGGCGAAAGCCUGACGCAGCGACGCCGCGUGA
rnacentral:rRNA from 1 species